AUUUUGGACAAUGGGGGCAACCCUGAUCCAGCCAUGCCGCGUGAGUGAAGAAGGCCUUCGGGUUGUAAAGCUCUUUUACCCGGGAUGAUAAUGACAGUACCGGGAGAAUAAGCUCCGGCUAACUCCGUGCCAGCCGCCGCGGUAAUACGGAGGGAGCUAGCGUUGUUCGGAAUUACUGGGCGUAAAGCGCACGUAGGCGGCUUUGUAAGUUAGAGGUGAAAGCCCGGGGCUCAACCCCGGAAUUGCCUUUAAGACUGCAUCGCUUGAAUCCAGGAGAGGUGAGUGGAAUUCCGAGUGUAGAGGUGAAAUUCGUAGAUAUUCGGAAGAACACCAGUGGCGAAGGCGGCUCACUGGACUGGUAUUGACGCUGAGGUGCGAAAGCGUGGGGAGCAAACAGG
rnacentral:rRNA from 1 species